GACGAACGCUGGCGGCGUGCCUAACACAUGCAAGUCGAACGGUAAGGCCCUUCGGGGUACACGAGUGGCGAACGGGUGAGUAACACGUGGGUGAUCUGCCCUGCACUUCGGGAUAAGCCUGGGAAACUGGGUCUAAUACCGGAUAGGACCACUGCCUGCAUGGGUGGUGGUGGAAAGCUUUUGCGGUGUGGGAUGGGCCCGCGGCCUAUCAGCUUGUUGGUGGGGUGAUGGCCUACCAAGGCGACGACGGGUAGCCGGCCUGAGGGGGUGACCGGCCACAAGAGGACUGGGAUACGGCCCAGACUCCUACGGGAGGCAGCAGUGGGGAAUAUUGCACAAUGGGCGCAAGCCUGAUGCAGCGACGCCGCGUGAGGGAUGACGGCCUUCGGGUUGUAAACCUCUUUCAGCACCGACGAAGCGCAAGUGACGGUAGGUGCAGAAGAAGGACCGGCCGACUACGUGCCAGCCGCCGCAGUAA
rnacentral:rRNA from 1 species